GUGUCGCAGCCGCGGUAAUACCGGCAGCCCGAGUGAUGGCCGAUCUUAUUGGGCCUAAAGCGUCCGUAGCUGGCCGCACAAGUCCAUCGGAAAAUCCACCCGCCCAACGGGUGGGCGUCCGGUGGAAACUGUGUGGCUUGGGACCGGAAGGCGCGACGGGUACGUCCGGGGUAGGAGUGAAAUCCCGUAAUCCUGGACGGACCGCCGAUGGCGAAAGCACGUCGCGAGGACGGAUCCGACAGUGAGGGACGAAAGCCAGGGUCUCGAACCGGAUUAGAAACCCCCGUAGUCC
rnacentral:rRNA from 1 species